rnacentral:tRNA from 1 species
GCCCGAGUGGUGGAAUUGGUAGACACGCCGGAUUCAAAAUCCGGUUUCGAAAGAAGUGACGGUUCAAGUCCGUCUUCGGGUACCA